rnacentral:lncRNA from 1 species
GAAAUAAUUUCGUUCGUGUCAAAGGUCCAUAGAUAGAAGAUCCAUCGAUAUUAUCAAUGGAUUUCUCCGCGCAUACCAAAAUGUGAAUAUCUCCUCGAUCGGUCAACAACGUGUGUCAGGAAGGCGAUAUCGGAAACUAAUCUUUCGUCGACGUCUACUACUAACCAAGAAAACGUUCGAACAAAGAGAAAGGGAAGAAGAAGAAGAAGAAGCUUUAAGGAAGACGAUUUUAUGGACUAAAAGUACUCUCCUCUUACUUGAAAAAGGACGAUGAGAAGAAAAAAUGGAAGAA